AGGUGUUGAUAUUCUACCUUAAAAUGAAGGGUCAUGGCCUCUCUCCAUUCAGCUGUGGCUGUUGAUCUUACGGACACCAAAGGUAGGGUGUGUGCAAGAUGGAGAAGCAGGGCACGUGCAUUACUUCCUAACUCAUCUGUUACAGAACUCAAAGGUUAGUAUGUUAUUCAUGUGCCCAUCUUCUCCAUCAUGCCCACCCUACCUCAUUCUGAAUCAGCUAUGUGGUCAAAACAAAGAUCAGAUAAUCUUGCCGUUGAUGGGCAGAAUCAACGGUCUCAACUUUGCGGUCGCUGCGAUGAUCAUCAAGUAAUCUCUUUUCUAUUUUGCUUUUUGGGUUUGAUGUUUUCACAGCUGAGGUGGGCCACAAUUAUAAAACAAAUGAAUCGCUGGAAAUCAGCUGUAUACAUUGCCCUGUAUUAGAAGCAUCAUGAUUUUGAAGGCCGAAGAUUUAUGCAUUAUUUCCGACCGAAAUGAAAGCUUGAAUCUCACACGUGUUCUAUAUUAGCACGUAUGUUUGCAUGUGGAUGCAUGGCAGGCUCGUCAGGCUUCUGGAAUGAGUGUAAUUAGACCGUUGUUGCUUCUUUGUCAGCUUGAGGACAUACAUUUACGGGAGAGGAUAUAUUUCCAAAGAAAAUCGUGUUUU